rnacentral:rRNA from 1 species
GGAAUUUUGGACAAUGGACGCAAGUCUGACCCAGCCAUGCCGCGUGCGGGAAGAAGGCCUUCGGGUUGUAAACCGCUUUUGUCAGGGAAGAAACGCUCUGGGUUAAUACCUCGGGGUAAUGGCGGUACCUGAAGAAUAAGCACCGGCUAACUACGUGCCAGCAGCCGCGGUAAUACGUAGGGUGCAAGCGUUAAUCGGAAUUACUGGGCGUAAAGCGUGCGCAGGCGGUUAUGCAAGACAGAGGUGAAAUCCCCGGGCUCAACCUGGGAACUGCCUUUGUGACUGCAUAGCUAGAGUACGGUAGAGGGGGAUGGAAUUCCGCGUGUAGCAGUGAAAUGCGUAGAUAUGCGGAGGAACACCGAUGGCGAAGGCAAUCCCCUGGACCUGUACUGACGCUCAUGCACGAAAGCGUGGGGAGCAAGCAGGAUUAGAUACCCUGGUAGUCCACGCCCUAAACGAUGUCAACUGGUUGUUGGGAGGGUUUCUUCUCAGUAACGUAGCUAACGCGUGAAGUUGACCGCCUGGGGAGUACGGCCGCAAGGUUGAAACUCAAAUGAAUUGACGG